rnacentral:rRNA from 1 species
GACUGUAGGCUGCAACUCGCCUACACGAGGCUGGAAUCGCUAGUAAUCGCGGAUCAGCACGCCGCGGUGAAUACGUUCCCGGGCCUUGUACACACCGCCCGUCACACCAUGAGAGUCUGUAACACCCAAAGCCGGUGGGAUAACCUUUAUAGGAGUCAGCCGUCUAAGGUAGGACAGAUGAUUAGGGUGAAGUCGUAACAAGGUAGC